CGUGUGUCAAAAGGUUCGAGGUUAUGAUAAGUUCUAUUGAAAAACAAAAAUUCGAAUAUAUGUUAUCGGCGGUUUUGAUGGCAUGAAAAAUAAAAGUUUGUUAAAAUUGCUCACCAAUUUUGAAGAACUAGUAUAUCUUUUUUUUACUGUAUUUACAAGAUGCUGACCAAACUAUAAAAGGCGUUUUUAUAGUUUUUAUGUCGAGUUCCUGAAAGCAGUUAUAAAAUCCAAACAACUGAAAUUGUAAUUGCAGCUAUAUCUGCCCGGCUAUUUGUUAUCCACGUAAACAUUUCUUUAGCACGUCUGGGAACAAACUGUGGCUCAUAAGAGGAGAAUUUGAGCGUGGAGUACAAUCUUUGGAUAGAAAGACCCAAAAUUAAAUCGAUCAAAUUCUAGACGGGGAAACAAUAUGAGUACCACAAAUAGAGUUUUCUUGACGAUGACACGUUAAGAAUGCGAAUAUGCAUAGUAAAGAGUCCCAGCAUAGUAAGCAGAAAGAAGAGAGAACUGCCAUUUCGAUACAACGUUAAAAACCAAAUGGAUUUAAGCGAGAUUAACCCUUUGCUCGACAGUCUGAUUUACGUAAACGAGACGAAACCGGAUGUUUAUCCGUCUAAGGACUGCUACAACAACAACAACAACCGAGAAAUUGUAAGAACUAAUAACCCGCGAAGUGUUAAGUUACGCUCUCUACAUAGCGUAGCAAAGAUUGGUAGCAACGCGAGCUACAUAUAAGAGAGAAUUGGAAAAGAAAGCGACCUGCAUUUGGGCAACUAAACUUGAAAGAACGAAAAGACGAUAUGAAAUUUAAAGGGUAACCGGAAGCUCGACCAGAUGUGUAACAACUCUGGAAUGUUUUUAUGAAUGAAAAGAUGCUGCUUCUCCAAUCUUCUGAUAAUUUGUCUUCAUUGAAAGCAUUCGUUCAUUUAUUGUUGUUGCACUAGUUAGACUAUAAAGUAUAUGAUUGUGGCCAUCUCAUUCUCAUACCGACUAAACGGUGUCGCUCGCAAUUGGUUGCAUCAUUAGAUGAACAAAUUAAUACAUAUACAUAUGUAUAUACCAUACAUAGGUAUGUAUGUACCUGUAUCUAUGCAUUUUCGCCACCGAGCUGCUGCCGAGCUCUGCCAUAUUUACUAUAAUUACCAGGAAACAUUAAACUUGCGCCGUUUGAUAUACAUACUUACAUAAUUAUGCUAUAUUAUUUGUAUCGUUCUGGUUAUGUAAUUUGUUGUCUCUCGAAUGGGCAGUAGCCGGAAUGGACCCGGAUUUUUAUCCGGCCAAGUACUGUCAACUCGGCACCAUUCCUCGAAAUUACUUCAGGAAUGUUGUUGUUGUAACUGUUAUCUACUCCCGCUUGGGAGGUAAGUUUCACUUUGGUUGUCGUCGAGGUCAUCUAACAGAAGGCCUAGGAAACGAGCUGUUUCGGCGGGGUCGGACCAUAGGAUAAGGGUGUUAGAUGAGUGGGGCUCGUUGAACAUGCAAAGAGGUGGUUAGUUUUAGUUUUACUUCAGGAAUGUUUUCUGCUCUGCUACUGCAACAACAACAAAUACUACGCUUAUAAAUAACCGAAAUGAAAAUCCAAUCAAGUCGAAACUCAUUCUGCACUCUAUAUUCAACAGUGUAAAGUGGUCGGGCUUUCGCCAGCGUGCAUAUAUUCCUCAUUCAAAAGCCGUUAUACCAUUUAGUUCAACUUAACAUUUUCAACUUUAUUUCUGAAUGAAAAUGAAAAUAACUGAGCUGGCGCAUGCCGUUGGUGUACUAGCAUAA